CCUACGGGAGGCAGCAGUAGGGAAUUUUCGGCAAUGGGGGGAACCCUGACCGAGCAACGCCGCGUGAACGAAGAAGUUAUUCGUAAUGUAAAGUUCUUUUAACAGGGAAGAAAGAGAAAUUUGACGGUACCUGAAGAAUAAGCUCCGUCUAACUACGUGACAGCAGCCGCGGUAAUACGUAGGGAGCGAGCGUUAUCCGGAAUUAUUGGGCGUAAAGGGUGCGUAGAUGGCAUAGUAAGUCUGUUGUAAAAAUGCUGGGCUAAACCCAGUAGGGCAAAAGAUACUGCAAAGCUGGAGUAUGACAGAGGCAAGUGGAACGACAUGUGUAGCGGUAAAAUGCGUAGAUAUAUGUAAGAACACCAGUGGCGAAGGCGGCUUGCUGGGUCGCUACUGACAUUGAGGCACGAAAGCGUGGGGAGCAAACAGGAUUAGAUACCCUUGUAGUC
rnacentral:rRNA from 1 species